rnacentral:rRNA from 1 species
UACGUAGGGGGCGAGCGUUGUCCGGAAUUACUGGGCGUAAAGGGUGCGUAGGCGGCCAUUUAAGUCUUGUGUGAAAGGCCCCGGCUUAACCGGGGAGCUGCAUGGGAAACUGGAUGGCUUGAGUGCUGGAGAGGGUUGCGGAAUUCCCAGUGUAGCGGUGAAAUGCGUAGAUAUUGGGAGGAACACCAGUGGCGAAGGCGGCAACCUGGACAGUAACUGACGCUGAGGCACGACAGCUGGGGGAGCAAACAGG